rnacentral:rRNA from 1 species
UUCGCAAUGCCCGAAAGGGUGACGAAGCGACGCCGCGUGUGGGAAGAAGGCCUUCGGGUUGUAAACCACUGUCGGGAGUUAGGAAAUGUAAGGGUGCUAAUAGUAUCCUUACUUGACUAAGGCUCCGGAGGAAGCCACGGCUAACUCUGUGCCAGCAGCCGCGGUAAUACAGAGGCGGCAAGCGUUGUUCGGAAUUAUUGGGCGUAAAGAGCACGUAGGCGGCUAUGUAAGUCGGUUGUGAAAGCCUUCCGCUCAACGGGAGAACCGCAUCCGAUACUGCAUGGCUUGAGUGCGGGAGGGGAGAGUGGAACUUCUGGUGGAGCGGUGAAAUGCGUAGAUAUCAGAAGGAACGCCGGCGGCGAAAGCGGCUCUCUGGCCCAUAACUGACGCUGAGUGUGCGAAAGCUAGGGGAGCAAACGGGAUUAGAUACCCCGGUAGUCCUAGCUGUAAAC